rnacentral:piRNA from 1 species
UGGAAACAGGUCUCUGCCACCAGGAGCUCU